CAGCACCUCAAGUGGUCAGGAUGAUUAUUGGGCCUAAAGCAUCCGUAGCCGGCUCUGUAAGUUUUCGGUUAAAUCUGUACGCUCAACGUACAGGCUGCCGGGAAUACUGCAGAGCUAGGGAGUGGGAGAGGUAGACGGUACUCGGUAGGAAGGGGUAAAAUCCUUUGAUCUAUUGAUGACCACCUGUGGCGAAGGCGGUCUACCAGAACACGUCCGACUGUGAGGGAUGAAAGCUGGGGGAGCAAACCGGAUUAGAUACCCGAGUAGUCC
rnacentral:rRNA from 1 species